AACUGUGGUAGCAGUCUGGGUGUGACCUCUGUCAUCCCAGUGAUCACUAGGGUUACUUCCUCUGAUCUGAGUGACUUGGUGAGUGUCUCCUUCCCUCGCAGCUCUAAGUGCAUCCUUCCCAAAGUUCCCCACUCAGCAGAAGAGCACAUUUCUUUGGCCAAGGAGGCACAAGAAUUUGAGCUCCACUGCUAGACUUUCCAGACAAGCUCUCAAUAGGAACUUCAUUAAUGAAUCCUUAUAAGUCUCACCCAAAUAUGACACUUGAUUAUAUAUAUUUUU
rnacentral:snRNA from 1 species